UAAGACUUGAUAUUUCUUAUAAACAAUUUUUAUGGCUUCUUCAUCACUUGUUCUUUUUCCGGCUAUGAAAUUGUCAUCUACCAAAUUUAGGAUCACUCAAAGGCUAUCCAAAAUCAAAGCUCAGAUCUAUAGAGAUGAAGGAGGAAAAUCAAGGCAUGUUGUUGAUGCAAAUUUACAAGUAUUGAGGGGAAGGAUAGAAGAAGUGAAGAUAAAAGAGAGAUUGGAGAAAUGUUUGGUAUGUGAACAAGGUUGGAAUUACACACCUACAAAUUCAAAAUUAUAUUAUGAGAAGAAACACAAAAAACAAUUGGAUGAAUUUGUUGAACUUAUUUUCAUGGUUGGUGGGACUAUUGGAUUCACUAUCUUUGGCUGCUCUCUUUGCCUCUACCUAACUUCCCUUCUCAUUCAUUUUAAUCAUUGAAACUGAGCAUUGUGGUGAAUUUUACAUUUUGUAAUUAUAAUAAGUUAACUAUAAUACGAUUAUUUUGAUUUACAUAUUUGUAAUGGCAGAGCUUUAUUUUAGACUAGCUCUGCUAUAUUAUCAUCUUCAUGACAUUUAAUUAAAUCCGCUGUGUAAUGUUUCCUUCUUAGUACAAAACAGAUAUUAGAAAACUUUGCGGAGAAA